CAAUUUUUAUUAAGCUAAGUAAAACAAGUAAUAAAAAAUAAACUUUAAUCACUAUCUACUGAUCUCGUUGAUGAUAAAUCACUAUCAAUAUCUUCUAAUUCUUCUUCAUUCUCUCGAAGGAAUUCUUGUUGUCUAUAUCCGGCUCUGGUCCAAUCGUCAAGACAUGCUUGAGCUUCAAGAGAAUCUGGACUCAUUCUUGAUCGAGUUUCAUCUAGUAUUUAACCUCCCAUGCUAAAAGCUCGCUCGACGGAAAAUGUAGAAACGGGUGAAGAAAGAACGUCUUUUGCGAUCAUGGCUAAAAUUGGAUAUUGAGAUUGGUGACUCUUCCACCAAUGAAUGAUUUGAAAGUUAUUACCUGCAUCUGCAUCACUAAACUCAAAAUUAGUAGAUAAAUAUUUUUCAAGUUCAGCAUUAUUACCUUGUGAUGGUCGUUGCCUUCUACGUCGACGCAUUCUUUCUGCAAGACUUAACAUAGAAGUUGAUGACAUAUCAUUUUGUAGAGAUGAUUCAGUUCCUUGUGGUACUAAAUGCUCAUAUAAUAUUCAUCAUACAAAUUUCUAUGUCUUUUCUUGAGUUGGAAAUAAUGCUUGGAACUUAAUACUAUCAGACAAAUGUAAUAGAUCAUAAUAUGCGACGAGGUAAUCAAAUAAACCAUCAAAUUUAGUUCGAGGAUCAAAAAUAGAUGCAAGCAAAUUAAGAGGUGGAAUUUCUCUAUAGUAUUUAAACCAUUUAUCUCUCAUACUAGUUAUGCAUGAUGACAAAACAGUAUUAUUUUCAUGUUCAUGCAUCACAUCAGCAAUAUUAACACAUUCAUAUAAAAGUAAAUGACUAGUAUGAUAAUAAACACUGGAUAAUAAAAACGUUGCAUCAUUAAAACAUUUUAAUAACUUUAAAAGUGCAUUACAAUCAUCCCAAUGAGUGGGCCAUAAAGUUAAAGAACUGCAAUUUUGUUGAAUAAAACUACACAAUAAAUAUUUAUAACCAAUAGAAUCAACAAGCAUAUCAUAUGUUGAAUUCCAACGAGUAAAAACAUCUCAAGAAAACCUUUUGGGAGAUACAUUAUGCAUUUUACAAAACUGAAACCAUUUUUUCAUUAAUUGUGGAUGACCCCAUAAAUAAUUCAAAGCAGUUUUAAUUGGAGAAAUAAGAUUAUUUUGAGAAACCAAUAAACCAUCUUGAACACAUAAAUUUAAGACAUGACAAAUGCAUCGAACAUGAAAAUAUUUUCCUCCUAAAAUAAGACUACAAUUAUUUAUUAAUUCAUCAAUGGAAGCAGUAUUAGCGGAUGCAUUAUCAAAAGAAAUAGAAAAUAUUUUGUUUGUUAAAUUAUAUUCUUCUAAAUUUAUUUU
rnacentral:sRNA from 1 species